rnacentral:lncRNA from 10 species
AGAAACAACCGGCUAUGCCUUGGGAUCAAAAUUCAGAACAAUCAAAUGGAAAUUACAGUGAAGAUGAAUAAAAGGGAAAGCAGAAAUGGAGAGGAGGAGGAGAAGCAGGCAGAAAGAGAGAAGGAGAAAAACAAGAGGAAACAUUAAAGGAGCUGGAAGAUGAACAGGAAAAAGAAAGCAAAAAAGAAAAUGAAAAACAAAAUAUCCCAAGAAAAGACUAGUCAGCAAAUCCCUCAUGGAAACUCUUUGGGCAAAGUUUAAAUUAAGCAGAUGCCCCACAAUACAAGAGAGUCUAUUACUCUCAUUUGAAUUUGGCAUGACACAUAAACAGAUAUGUCAAUGGUUUUGUAAAAAGGGGACGAAAUAUAAUACAGAAAUGUCCAAGGGAAAGCAUAAUAAAAAACAUAAGAGAUGAGGGUCU